UAGCUCAGUGGUAGAGUGUUUGCCUUGCAUGCAUGAGGCCCUAGGUUCAAUUCCUCG
rnacentral:tRNA from 1 species